ACAGAGGGAGCGAGCGUUGUCCGGAAUCACUGGGCGUAAAGGGCGCGUAGGUGGCUCUAUAAGUCGGGGGUGAAAUGCUGCGGCUCAACCGCAGCGCUGCCUCCGAGACUGUAGGGCUCGAGCACGGUAGAGGCCGAUGGAAUUCCCGGUGUAGCGGUGGAAUGCGUAGAGAUCGGGAAGAACAUCAGUGGCGAAGGCGGCCUGCUGGGCUGUUGCUGACGCUGAGGCGCGACAGCGUGGGGAGCAAACAGGA
rnacentral:rRNA from 1 species